rnacentral:rRNA from 1 species
GACGAACGCUGGCGGCGUGCUUAACACAUGCAAGUCGAACGGUGAAGCGCCUUCCUUUUUGGUGGGUGUGGAUGAGUGGCGAACGGGUGAGUAACACGUGAGUAACCUGCCCACUUCUUAUGGAUAACCGCAUGAAAGUGUGGCUAAUACGGGAUAUUCUGGGUCUGUAGCAUGAUGGGUCUGGGUAAGAUGUUGGUUCGGUGGAGGAUGGGCUAGUGGCCGAUCAGCUUGUUGUUGGGGUGAUGGCAUAGCAAGGCGGUGACUGGUAGCCGGCCUGGGAGGGUGGACUGGCAGACUGGGGAGGAGGCUCGGCCAAGACUGGUACGAGAGACAGCCGAGACGAAUACUGGACACUGCAGGCGAGAAUAAUGCACAGUGGCCGCGUGCGUGAUGGAGCAAUGCGGGGUGUGAAACGCAUUCGCCAGUGAAGUAGGCCUCUCUCGUUUGUGAGGAGAUUGACGGUAGCGGGAUAAGAAGCUCCGGCUAACUACGUG